AAGAAAGUAAGCAAGGGCGCAUGGCGGAUGCCUUGGCUCUCGGAGGCGAUGAAGGACGUGAUAAGCUGCGAUAAGCUUCGGGAAGGUGCAAAUAACCUUUGAUCCGAAGAUUUCCGAAUGGGACAACCCGGCAUUCUGAAGGAAUGUCAUCCAUCCUAGAUGGAAGCUAACGCAGGGAACUGAAACAUCUUAGUACCUGCAGGAAAAGAAAAUAAUAAUGAUUCCCCAAGUAGUGGCGAGCGAACGGGGAUUAGCCCAAACCAAUGUUGUUACGGCAAUAUUGGGGUUGUAGGACCACGAUAUCGCAAGAAAUUUAGUGAGAAGAAUUCUUUGGAAAAUGAAACCAUAGACGGUGAUAGUCCGGUAUUCGAAGCUAAACGAAGCGUAGUGGUAUCCUGAGUAGCGCGGGACACGAGGAAUCUUGCGUGAAUCUGCCGGGACCAUCCGGUAAGGCUAAAUACUCCCGAGAGACCGAUAGCGAACCAGUACUGUGAAGGAAAGGUGAAAAGCACUUCGAAUAGAAGAGUGAAAUAGUCCCUGAAACCGUGCGCCUACAAGCGGUCGGAGCAGCGUAAGUUGUGACGGCGUGCCUUUUGCAUAAUGAACCUACGAGUUACUUUUUCCGGCAAGGUUAAGCAUUUUAAAAUGUGUAGCCGAAGCGAAAGCGAGUCUGAACAGGGCGAUUAGUCGGAAGGAGUAGACGCGAAACCAAGUGAUCUACCCUUGGUCAGGUUGAAGGUUAGGUAACACUAACUGGAGGACCGAACCGAUAAGCGUUGAAAAGCUUCCGGAUGAACUGAGGGUGGGGGUGAAAGGCUAAUCAAACUUGGAGAUAGCUCGUACUCCCCGAAAUGCAUUUAGGUGCAGCCUUGGGAAUUACUACUGUGAGGUAGAGCGACUGAUAAGAUGCGAGGGCUUCACCGCCUAUCAAGUCUUGAUAAACUCCGAAUGCGCAGUAGUUCGAUCCCAGGAGUGAGGGCAUGGGUGCUAAGGUCCAUGUCCUAAAGGAGAAGAAUCCGGACCAUCAGCUAAGGUCCCGAAAUAAUUGCUAAGUUGAACUAACGAAGUCAGAUUGCUAAGACAGCUAGGAUGUUGGCUUGGAAGCAGCCAUUCAUUUAAAGAGUGCGUAACAGCUCACUAGUCGAGGAGUUUGGCGUGGAUAAUAAUCGGGCAUUAAGCAAUUUACCGAAGCUAUGGGAUCAGUAAUGAUCGGUAGGGGAGCAUUCCACUCUGCGUCGAAGGUGAAGCGUGAGCUUUGCUGGAGCGUGUGGAAAAGCAAAUGUAGGUAUAAGUAACGAUAAAGGGGGUGAGAAACCCCCUCGCCGAAAGACUAAGGUUUCCUGAUCAACGCUAAUCGGAUCAGGGUUAGUCGGGUCCUAAGGCUCAGCCGAACGGUGAGGCCGAUGGCAGAACAGGUUAAUAUUCCUGUACUACCUUAAGGAGUGACGUGGAGACGGAGCAGUGAUAGCGCCGCGGACUGACGGAAUAGUCCGUUGAAGGGUGUAGAUGUUGAUCUUUGCAGGCAAAUCCACAAAGAGAGUCGAACCUGAUAGUAUACCAAAUUCUUCGGAAUAAGGUAAUAGUGCGUGUAAACAUACUCCCAAGAAAAUCCGCUAAACUUAAUCUUUAAGGUACCCGUACCGCAAACGGACACACGUAGUCGGGUUGAAUAUACUAAGGCGCUUGAGUGAUUCACGGUUAAGGAACUAGGCAAAUUGACCCUGUAACUUCGGGAUAAAGGGUCCCAACGAGAGUUGGGCGCAGAGAAUAGGUCCAGGCAACUGUUUAACAAAAACACAGGGCUGUGCUAAAUUGAAAGAUUACGUAUACAGCCUGACACCUGCCCGGUGCUGGAAGGUUAAGAGGAGAUGUCAUCGCAAGAGAAGCAUUGAAUUGAAGCCCCAGUAAACGGCGGCCGUAACAAUAACGGUCCUAAGGUAGCGAAAUUCCUUGUCGGGUAAGUUC
rnacentral:rRNA from 1 species